rnacentral:misc_RNA from 1 species
AGCCUUCUUCAGGUGUUGCUUUAGAAAG